UGGAAGUGCCACAAAUUAUGAAAUAUCGAACAAGUGGGUCUCAUCUUUCAUUUCAGUUGGAAAGGCCUGAUCGUGUUUUGGGUUUUUAUUUUUCCGCUGUUAUUGAUUUCCAAGAUUUUGAUUUGGAUGAAUAUGGCAUUACAGGAUAUGCGAACUUCCAAGAUAAAUCUGAAAAGAUGUAUGAGUAUGUCUGUGACUUUGAUUUGCCAUAUUUUGGGCUUCCUAAAUUAGAUUCAAAACAUGUGUUCCUUAGGUGCAAAUCUUUUGAUCAUGAGCCGAAUUUCACUCGAGUCUCAUUCCAUGUUUAUCAAUUCUCUGUAAAGUAUCCCAGAAAAGGUGGUGCCAGUAUUGGGAGGGCGAUCACUUGUGGCAUGCAUCCUAUACAUCGGGAAGAUAUAGGAAAGCUGAAAUAAGGAAUGAUUAAAACCAAGAAGGAUGGUAUCAGGGAGAACCAGAUAAGGAUACAGUACAAGUGGCGAACGCUGAAUUAUAGGAGAAGAAAUUGAGGCAAAGAAUCUGAUUAAGGUCAAUUUGUAUGGCAAAUGGAAAUUGACAAUAGUUGUACGUUGGCAUUGUAUCUUAAGGGCUUGUUGCAGUUGGUGGAAUAUCUUUAAUCAUGUUUGCAGUUAUCCUAAAUGCUUGUCAUUAUUUGCUAGUUUGGAGUUUUGGAGGGAAGUAUAGAUUGAUCUUUAAAAGAGGUUUGCUUCA